rnacentral:rRNA from 1 species
UACGGAGGGGGCUAGCGUUGUCCGAAGUUACUGGGCGUAAAGCGCGCGUAGGCGGGUUGGUAAGUCCGCUGUGAAAGCCCGGAGCUCAACUCCGGAGGGUCGGUGGAUACUGCCAGUCUUGAAGGUGCUAGGGGGAGAUGGAAUUACCGGUGUAGCGGUGAAAUGCGUAGAUAUCGGUAGGAACACCUGUGGCGAAGGCGGCCGACUGGGCCGACCCUGACGCUGAGGCGCGAAGGCGUGGGGAGCGAACGGG